UGGGGAUGACGUCAAAUCAUCCAUGCCCCUUAUGAACCUGGGCUACAAACGUGAUACGAAUGGCUGGAACAAAGGGAGGCGAAGGGGUGACCUGGAAGCGAAACCCAAAAAUACAGUCUCAGUUCGGAUUGAAGUCUGCAACUCGACUUCAUGAAGUCGGAAUCGCUAGUAAUCGCGGAUCAGAACGCCGCGGUGAAUACGUUCUCGGGGUUU
rnacentral:rRNA from 1 species